AUGGAAUCCAGUACUACAUGAAUAGCAAGUUUCUCUAGGUUUUCUAUAAUCUUCUACUGUCCUAAAUAUACUCUAAAAUGCGAAGGGCUGAUGGUGAUGGGUGUUUAGAUGUCUCUUGAUUGGGAGUCGUUAGUAUUUAGCUUAAGUCUGUUGAGAUGUAAAAGAGGCCUGUGUGUGAGAGCUGCGCUGCCCGCAGAAGCUCAGUAGCAGCCACCUCAGUGACUGACAGGUGGGUCAAAGUUGCGGAUUUAAGGUGGCUCUGGGAUUUGUGUGAGGCCCAAUAGCCAUCCCCUUCUUUUACCCUGACGCAGUGAAGUUUUCAAUGCAUGAUGAUGUGUGUGAGAGGAAGGGAAUUAAAGAGAGAGAGAGACUUUGCUUAAAGUUGUGUGUGUGUGUGCAUGUGUGAAUUUUAGCACAACCUUCAAUGAGCACAGCUGUGUCGGUGCCUGGAUGUGUUGUUCUCUCAGUCCGCGGGGAGAAAGAGCUCCUGCAGGUCUGCCGACUAAUGCCAUCCUAUCGCUCUCUUUCUGUCUCUCUUUCUCUGGUUUAUAGCAACCUUCGUGACCUAGAAUGUGGCUGAUAAUAAAGGGAUAAUUCCUGUUCUCUUCAAUUUAUCUAGCUUCUACCAACAGAUAAAUUUGUGCUAAAAUACAGAAAUACAGUUUGAUUGGAUGGAACCUUUACAUGAACAUCAAAAUAUGGCAAGUGUUUUCUAAACAUUUUAAAAGUUUAAAAAACUAUUUAUUUUGCUAUCUAUGAUUAUUAUUUGCACUUACGUUAUUUGCAUUUGUUUUUUUCAGAACAGAACUAUGACCCUUUUUUGUGUCCCGACCCACCAGUUGCACAACAGGUACAGGUGAGAGAGAGAGUCGCUUUGUGAUUGGCUGCCCUUCUGCUCCAUAUUCAGAGGUGCUGGAUGAGGCAGAGUGCCCGCAGGGAAAAUGGCGUUGUAAUCAGGAGCCGGCUGUGCUGCCUGAUCAGGUCUUAUACCACCAUGAUGGCACAGUUACUGGUCCACCCCACUUCUAUAUUUAAAUGGGUUGAGCUCAACAAAACAGGGACACUGAGCCCCCCUCUUACCGGGAUCAUCUGUCUGCCUGGUGGACGAGCUGCGUCCUGCCCACUGCACCCAAUUCACAUAGAAAUUUACUCAAAUACUACAGAGGGUUUCAGGAGGAAGGAUUGCUGGAAGAGAUCAGCGGGACUCACUGAGUGGGCAGAGAAAAAUAGCCAGGCCAGUGAAGAUGGAUGGGUGACAGUCCCAUUGGUCACAGCGAUUCAGCACUCAGUCACCACGGAGACAAGCAGUGAAACCAGGAAUGCUGAAAGCCAAAUGAUUUGUGCUGUGAAAAAAAUUUAUAUUUUAGAUAAUUUUCUUAAACAUAAUUUAAUUUAUCAUGUAAAGUAAUGGAGCUUAAGCACAUUAAAUAAAUGCUCACCAUCAAAAUGGUGAUGUGAUAAG
ensembl:lncRNA